CAGUCGCCGCGGUAAUACGUAGGUGGCGAGCGUUGUCCGGAAUCAUUGGGCGUAAAGGGAGCGCAGGCGGGCAUGUAAGUCUUUCUUAAAAGUUCGGGGCUCAACCCCGUGAUGGGAAAGAAACUAUAUGUCUUGAGUACAGGAGAGGAAAGCGGAAUUCCCAGUGUAGCGGUGAAAUGCGUAGAUAUUGGGAGGAACACCAGUGGCGAAGGCGGCUUUCUGGACUGCAACUGGCGCUGAGGCUCGAAAGCCAGGGGAGCGAACGGGAUUAGAUACCCGCGUAGUCCCUGUCUCUUAUACA
rnacentral:rRNA from 1 species